GCCUACGUGGUGAAAUUGGUAUACACGCUACCUUGAGGGGGUAGUCAGCUUAUGCUGGUGGAGGUUCGAGUCCUCUCGUAGGCA
rnacentral:tRNA from 2 species